rnacentral:rRNA from 1 species
UACGGAGGGUGCAAGCGUUAUCCGGAUUCACUGGGUUUAAAGGGUGCGUAGGUGGGUUGGUAAGUCAGUGGUGAAAUCUCCAGGCUUAACUUGGAAACUGCCAUUGAUACUAUCAAUCUUGAAUACCGUGGAGGUCAGCGGAAUAUGUCAUGUAGCGGUGAAAUGCUUAGAUAUGACAUAGAACACCAAUUGCGAAGGCAGCUGGCUACACGAAUAUUGACACCGAUGCACGAAAGCGUGGGGAGCAAACAGG